CGGUGUUCAUCGUGAACAUUCGUUGCGGCCUGCUCGGUUUCGGUCUGGGCGUCUUGCCCGGUGCCGGUGCCACACUGGCCAGCGCCGU
rnacentral:tRNA from 1 species